rnacentral:lncRNA from 1 species
AUGGGCAGAGGACGCAGCGUCUUCAACUGUGACCUGGAGCCUGGGCCAGAAUGGAGGUCACAGGUAAGGAUGGGGGACCUGAGAGGCCUGGGGGUCCGGGUGAGAAAGAGGUCCCAGGCCUUACCUGAUGGGGCCAGGAGGAAAGUAGGCCUCCUGGAGCUGGACCCUGAGGGCCACAUGACGCUGUGCCAGGAUGGCUGCUGCUUGGGCUGCUCCCUUCUCAUCCCCACCCUCUACGGCCCGGGUCAGGCGCCCUGCCAGCUCUUCUGCAGGGGAAGAGAGAGCCAUCGCAACCCCACACUGGCUACUUCCCCCAGCCCCUCCGGCCACCUGCCUUUACCUUUCUCCAUCAAGUCUCCAGGGCUCCAAGGAAGAUCCACCUUGGGCUUGGGGGCCUUGGGUGUGGGCACUUCAAGGGGACUGGGCGGGGAGACAGGGCGCGUUUCUGGGCCUAGGGCUGGGGGCAAGCUGUCACUACCUAGGAGGAAAGAUGUGGGGUGGGCUGGUGGUCUCUUUGAGAUCUGGCCCCCCACGGAGUACACACCAAGGCCUCUGCUGUCUCACCUCAGGCUUCCAGUACCUUUGUCUCCUCCCUCCUUAGCUCAGCCCAGCCCAUGCCAGGGCCUUGCCUUGGCCCAGUCUUGGGCCUUGCACACCCCAGAGGUCCCUGCUGACUUCACUCAGAGUUGCACUUGGCUCUUUUUUGGGCUCUGGAGUCCUUCUGGCCUCCUUUGCUGCCCAGUCCCACCUGCAGCCCUCCUCCACAGGGGCUGGGCCACCUCUCUUGGCCUGUACAAGCCCUCUCAGCCAGCCAAGAAGCUCCCUGGGCCUCACAGCAGAACCAGCGGAAGUCUCCAGGAGUCCUGCAGUCAAGGUGGCCUCCUUCCAGGGAACUCCGACGUCUCUCCUGGCUCUGCCAUCAGCACAGAGCACUCUGGGCUGAUCCCAUUCCAAACAACCCCUCUCCAGCUGGUGCUUGCCCUGAGCGUGCAACCGGCUCCCUUUCUUACCUCCCACUUACGCCCUGCCCAUGUGGUGCAGAUGCAGUUCCUUUGCUUCAAUAUUCUGAGCCAUCUGCCCACUCACAUAAGCAGGGCUCCCGAGCACCCAGCACCAGGCCUGCCUGGACUCUCUAAGGCCUUGAAGGAGUGCUUACUACAGGUGCAGAAUACACAUGUGGUGAACCAACCAACCAAUGUAUGCAUGAAAGGCAAGUGUCUUUCUCCCUCCGCAGAUGCUGCUGUCUGGACCUCUCUUCCAUCUCACUAG